AGGACGUUUUAUGCUUCUGCUUACCCCUGCAGACCCCUCUGCGUCUACGCCGGACCCUACGCCGUAGCCUGACGUGCACCUCUCGAAAAAUAUAACUACAUAUUGCGGCAAGG